rnacentral:rRNA from 1 species
GGAAUUGACGGGACCGCACAAGCGUGGAUGAUGUGGUUUAAUUCGAAGCAACGCGAAGAACCUUACCAGGUCUUGACAUCCCGAUGCUAUUUCUAGAGAUAGAAAGUUACUUCGGUACAUCGGUGACAGGUGGUGCAUGGUUGUCGUCAGCUCGUGUCGUGAGAUGUUGGGUUAAGUCCCGCAACGAGCGCAACCCCUAUUGUUAGUUGCCAUCAUUCAGUUGGGCACUCUAGCGAGACUGCCGGUAAUAAACCGGAGGAAGGUGGGGAUGACGUCAAAUCAUCAUGCCCCUUAUGACCUGGGCUACACACGUGCUACAAUGGUUGGUACAACGAGUUGCGAGUCGGUGACGGCGAGCUAAUCUCUUAAAGCCAAUCUCAGUUCGGAUUGUAGGCUGCAACUCGCCUACAUGAAGUCGGAAUCGCUAGUAAUCGCGGAUCAGCACGCCGCGGUCGAAUACGUUCCCGGGCCUU